GAUGAAGAACGUAGCAAAAUGCGAUACUUGGUGUGAAUUGCAGAAUCCCGUGAACCAUCGAGUUUUUGAACGCAAGUUGCGCCCGAAGCCUUUUGGCCGAGGGCACGUCUGCCUGGGCGUCACGCAUCGCGUCGCCCCCCACAAUUCUCCGUAAAGGGAACAUGUGUUUUGGGGGCGGAUAUUGGUCUCCCGUGCUCAUGGCGUGGUUGGCCGAAAUAGGAGUCCUUUCGAUGGACGCACGAACUAGUGGUGGUAGUAAAAACCCUCGUCUUUUGUUUCGUGCUGUUGCUCGCAAGGUAAACUCUUUAAAAACCCCAAUGUGUCGUCUCUUGACGACGCUUCGACCGCGACCCCAGGUCAGGCGGGACUACCCGCUGAGUUUAAGCAUAUCAAUAAGCGGAGGA
rnacentral:misc_RNA from 1 species